AAAGACGUGCUGCUACACAUGCAGUCGAGCGGAUGACGGAGCUUGCUCCUGUGUUCAGCGGCGGACGGGUGAGUAAUGUCUAGGAAUCUGCCUGGUAGUGGGGGAUAACGUUUCGAAAGGUACGCUAAUACCGCAUACGUCCUACGGGAGAAAGUGGGGGAUCUUCGGGCCUCUGUCGCUAUCGGAUGAGCCUAUGUCGGAUUAGCUAGUUGGUGAGGUAAUGGCCUCACCAAGGCAACGAUCCGUAGCUGGUCUGAGAGGAUGACUCAGCCACACUGGAACUGAGACACGGUCCAGACUCCUACGGGAGGCAGCAGUGGGGAAUUUUGGACAAUGGGCGAAAGCCUGAUCCAGCCAUGCCGCGUGUGUGAAGAAGGCCUUCGGAUUGUAAAGCUCUUUUGUCUGGGAGGAACGGUUGUAAAUUAAUACUCUGCGCUAUUGACGUUACCGACAGAAUAAGCACCGGCUAACUCUGUGCCAGCAGCCGCGGUAAUACAUAGGGUGCAAGCGUUAAUCGGAAUUACUGGGCGUAAAGCGCGCGCAGGUGGUUCUGUAAGUCUGAUGUGAAAUCCCCGGGCUCACCUGGGAUUGCAUUGCAACUGACGAGCUAGAGUCUGUAGAGGGUGGUGGAUUUCCUGUGUAGCGGUGAAUGCGUAGAUAUAUUUCCGUUAAAGCGUGCAAUGGCGUAGAUUAGGAAAGGAACGCCGUUGCGAAGGGUGACCCCUUGGCCUGAUCACUGACAUUGAGGUCGAAAAACGUGGGGAGCAAACAGGAUUAGAUACCUUGGUAGUCCACGCCGCAAACGAUGUCAACUAGCCGUUGGGAGCCUUGAGCUCUUAGUGGCGCAGCUAACGCAUUAAGUUGACCGCAUGGCGAGUACGGCCGCAAGGUUAAAACUCAAAUGAAUUGACGGGGGCCCGCACAAGCGGUGGAGCAUGUGGUUUAAUUUGAAGCAACGCGAAGAACCUUACCAGGCCUUGACAUCCAAUGAACUUUCUAGAGAUGGAUUGGUGCAUUCGGGAACAGUGAGACAGGUGCCGCAUGGCUGUCGUCAGCUCGUGUCGUGAGAUGUUGGAUUAAGUCCCGUAACGAGCGCAACCCGUGUCCUUAGUUACCAGCACGUCAUGGUGGGCACUCUAAGGAGACUGCCGGUGACAAACCGGAGGAAGGUGGGGAUGACGUCAAGUCAUCAUGGCCCUUACGGCCUGGGCUACACACGUGCUACAAUGGUCGGUACAGAGGGUUGCCAAGCCGCGAGGUGGAGCUAAUCCCAUAAAACCGAUCGUAGUCCGGAUCGCAGUCUGCAACUCGACUGCGUGAAGUCGGAAUCGCUAGUAAUCGCGAAUCAGAAUGUCGCGGUGAAUACGUUCCCGGGCCUUGUACACACCGCCCGUCACACCAUGGGAGCGGGUUGCACCAGAAGUAGCUAGUCUAACCUUCGGGAGGACGGUUACCACGGUGUAUUCAUGANUGGGGGAAGUCGANCAAGUGCACG
rnacentral:rRNA from 1 species